AUUGAACGCUGGCGGCAUGCCUUACACAUGCAAGUCGAACGGCAGCACGGGAGCAAUCCUGGUGGCGAGUGGCGAACGGGUGAGUAAAGUAUCGGAACGUGCCCAGUCGUGGGGGAUAACGUAGCGAAAGUUACGCUAAUACCGCAUACGAUCUAUGGAUGAAAGCGGGGGAUCGCAAGACCUCGCGCGAUUGGAGCGGCCGAUAUCAGAUUAGGUAGUUGGUGGGGUAAAGGCCCACCAAGCCGACGAUCUGUAGCUGGUCUGAGAGGACGACCAGCCACACGGGGACUGAGACACGGCCCAGACUCCUACGGGAGGCAGCAGUGGGGAAUUUUGGACAAUGGGCGAAAGCCUGAUCCAGCCAUGCCGCAUGCAGGAUGAAGGCCUUCGGGUUGUAAACUGCUUUUGUACGGAACGAAAAGGACUGCCCUAAUACGGUGGUCCCAUGACGGUACCGUAAGAAUAAGCACCGGCUAACUACGUGCCAGCAGCCGCCGUAA
rnacentral:rRNA from 1 species